rnacentral:ribozyme from 13 species
UCUCUUUCUCUUUCUCUUUCUCUUUCUCUUUCUCUUUCUCUGUUGUUGUGAAAGACAGAAAGAGAAAAAGGGAGAGGAGAGGAGAGAGGGAGGGAGAGGGGAAGAGAGGGAAAGAAAA